rnacentral:rRNA from 11 species
AGAGUUUGAUCCUGGCUCAGAACGAACGCUGGCGGCAGGCUUAACACAUGCAAGUCGAACGCCCCGCAAGGGGAGUGGCAGACGGGUGAGUAACGCGUGGGAACAUACCCUUUCCUGCGGAAUAGCUCCGGGAAACUGGAAUUAAUACCGCAUACGCCCUACGGGGGAAAGAUUUAUCGGGGAAGGAUUGGCCCGCGUUGGAUUAGCUAGUUGGUGGGGUAAAGGCCUACCAAGGCGACGAUCCAUAGCUGGUCUGAGAGGAUGAUCAGCCACAUUGGGACUGAGACACGGCCCAAACUCCUACGGGAGGCAGCAGUGGGGAAUAUUGGACAAUGGGCGCAAGCCUGAUCCAGCCAUGCCGCGUGAGUGAUGAAGGCCUUAGGGUUGUAAAGCUCUUUCACCGGAGAAGAUAAUGACG